rnacentral:rRNA from 1 species
CCUACGGGCUGCAGCAGUGAGGAAUAUUGGUCAAUGGACGCAAGUCUGAACCAGCCAUGCCGCGUGCAGGAAGACGGCUCUAUGAGUUGUAAACUGCUUUUGUACGAGGGUAAACGCAGAUACGCGUAUCUGUCUGAAAGUAUCGUACUAAUAAGGAUCGGCUAACUCCGUGCCAGCAGCCGCGGUAAUACGGAGGAUUCAAGCGUUAUCCGGAUUUAUUGGGUUUAAAGGGUGCGUAGGCGGUCGGAUAAGUUAGAGGUGAAAUCCCGAGGCCCAACAUCGGAAUUGCCUCUGAUACUGUUAGGCUAGAGAGUAGUGGCGGUAGGCGGAAUGUAUGGUGUAGCGGUGAAAUGCUUAGAGAUCAUACAGAACACCGAUUGCGAAGGCAGCUUACCAAGCUACUUCUGACGUUGAGGCACGAAAGCGUGGGGAGCAAACAGGAUUAGAUACCCGAGUAGUC